rnacentral:rRNA from 1 species
UACGUAGGGUGCAAGCGUUGUCCGGAAUUAUUGGGCGUAAAGAGCGUGUAGGCGGCCAGGUAGGUCCGCUGUGAAAACUCGAGGCUCAACCUCGAGAUGUCGGCGGAAACCAUCUGGCUAGAGUUCGGAAGAGGAGAGUGGAAUUCCUGGUGUAGCGGUGAAAUGCGCAGAUAUCAGGAAGAACACCCGUGGCGAAGGCGGCUCUCUGGGACGGUACUGACGCUGAGACGCGAAAGCGUGGGGAGCGAACAGG